rnacentral:rRNA from 1 species
UACGUAGGGGGCAAGCGUUGUCCGGAUUUAUUGGGCGUAAAGAGCGUGUAGGCGGCCUGACAGGUCUGCUGUGAAAACUCGAGGCUCAACCUCGAGAUGUCGGCGGAAACCGUCUGGCUAGAGUCCGGAAGAGGAGAGUGGAAUUCCCGGUGUAGCGGUGAAAUGCGCAGAUAUCAGGAAGAACACCUAUGGCGAAGGCAGCUCUCUGGGACGGUACUGACGCUGAGACGCGAAAGCGUGGGGAGCGAACAGG